rnacentral:rRNA from 1 species
GGCAGCCGCGGUAAUUCCAGCUCCAAUAGCGUAUAUUAAAGUUGUUGCAGUUAAAAAGCUCGUAGUUGAAUUUCGGGAUCAAUAUAUCGGUCGUGCCUCCGGUAUGCACUGGUAUUAUUGAUUUCUACCUUCUGACGAAUCAUGAUGUCAUUAAUUUGGUGUCAUGGGGAAUCAGGACUGUUACUUUGAAAAAUUAGAGUGUUUAAAGCAGGCACACGCUUGAAUACAUUAGCAUGGAAUAAUGAAAUAGGACGUUUGACCCUAUUUUGUUGGUUUCUAGGAUCGACGUAAUGAUUAAUAGGGAUAGUUGGGGGCAUUAGUAUUCAAUUGUCAGAGGUGAAAUUCUUGGAUUUAUUGAAGACUAACUACUGCGAAAGCAUUUGCCAAGGAUGUUUUCAUUAAUCAAGAACGAAAGUUAGGGGAUCGAAGACGAUCAGAUACCGUCGUAGUCUUAACCAUAAACUAUGCCGACUAGGGAUCGGAUGAUGUUAAUUUUAAUGACUC